UGUAGAAAUGAUAUUUUCACAUUUUUAUUUCCACUGAUCUCCUCUAGCAGUUUAACAUGAUUUAAAAACAUACCGUUAACCAGAGAUAUUGAAGCAGGGGGGAAGACAACAAAACAAAAUCCAUACAAAAUGGCGUCUACUCAUCAAGCACAACCAAAUCUACAGUCAUGUCUAGAUGGGAUACAGCUUGUGGAAUUGAAGUCCAAAGUAAUUUAACCUAAUUCUCCCAGCCUGCUACGUUAAUUCUUCCAACCUGCUUCGAAAACUACAUUUUGAUAAAAGCUGUAUCCCUUCUAGACCUAGGGGCUCUCAUUCGUUCCUACUUCCUCCCCUCCCGGGUGUACGUUUUGGGUUUUUGCCCUAGCGCAACACAGCCGAUUCAAAUGACCAACUCAUCAUCAAGCUUUGAUGAUUUGAAUCAGCUGUGUAGCUGGGCAAAAACCCAAAACGUACAGGAAGUAGGAAUGAAUGAGAACCCCUAGGUCAAGACAAUCACCACCUCCUCAUCGAUUCUUCUCGUUUUUAAAUAGGUUCAUAAAAAUACAAUAUUUUAAUGGAGGAUCUAGAACAGGGGUCUCCAACCCUGGUUCUGGAGAUACCCUCUCCAACCCUGGUUCUGGAGAUACCCUCUCCAACCCUGGUCCUGGAGAGACCCUCCUGUAGGUUUUAACUCCAACCCUGGUCCUGGAGAGAGACCCUCCUGUAGGUUUUAACUCCAACCCUGGUCCUGGAGAGAGACCCUCCUGUAGGUUUUAACACCAACCCUGGUCCUGGAGAGAGACCCUCCUGUAGGUUUUAACUCCAACCCUGGUUCUGGAGAGACCCUCUCCAACCCUGUUCCUGGAGAGAGACCCUCCUGUAGGUUUUCACUCCAACCCUGUUCCUGGAGAGAGACCCUCCUGUAGGUUUUAACUCCAUUAAUAUCAGGUAGAUCAGGGUUGGAGCAAAAACCUACAAGACAGUAGGACUCCAAGAACAGGGUUGGAGAACCCCAUAGAGAUAGAUAGAUGACUCAUCUUUGUAUCUGUGCCAAGAUAGGUGAGCAGGGCCAUUUUGAAGUAGUACGUUUUCUUCUUCACGAUUGGCUGAUUCCUCCUGAUGACCCGGUUGGACUCCAACUUAAUUUAUUUAACUACAUAAAAAUGGUGUAAGUCCUCAAUGGCGCUGUCCAUGUUAAAUGGCCUUUUGGCCACUAGAGGCCUCUAUCAUUCUCUAUGGAGAACCUUGAUGUAGACUAGAGACGAGAUGUUUCAUAGAGGUCAGACUCCGAGGUCAUGGUUAGAGAGUUCAGAGGGGGAUUUCUCCAAACAAAAAAUGUCACACAGACUUUACGCAACUAACUUGACGUCGUGUCGUAGUUUACCACUGGGCUACGUUUCUGUUAUUACACAUGAUCAAACAACAGCAUCAACCACAUGAUCAAACAACAGCAUCAACCACAUGAUCAAACAACAGCAUCAACCACAUGAUCAACCACAUGAUCAACCAACAGCAUCAACCACAUGAUCAACCACAUGAUCAACCACAUGAUCAACCAACAGCAUCAACCACAUGAUCAAACAACAGCAUCAACCACAUGAUCAAACAACAGCAUCAACCACAUGAUCAACCACAUGAUCAACCAAC
ensembl:lncRNA